CGCAUUACUCGAGCAAGCAAAGCAACAAUUCCACCUGACACUCAGUGAACGGGAUCGGCAAGGAGUGGAGAUGGCUUCACAAAGGAAAUGCAAAGAUGAUAUUUCCACUGCCUGGGGAAUUCAGAAGCAGGAGUCACAGUCUCAAAUAUUGUCACUCAGGACAAAGAUGAGAAAGAUUUCUUUUCCCCCAGAGAUGCUGCCUGACCUGCUGAAUAUCUCCAACAUUUUCUGUUUCUAUUUUUAAUAAACCAUAUGAUAAAAGUAUUCACUAGUUGAUGUUGACAUCAUAACAAAUAAUAAAGCAGCUAUAAGAUGUUUCAA